CUGCUUAAUUGUAGUCUGCCGAUGUAUUUUUCAAACCCAUUUACCUAAUACUGAUCUAUACUCCAAAAACGAAAGUUUAUGGUUUUAAUCUAUAACAACUUUCAGCAGUGGAUGUCUAGGCUCGCACAUCGAUGAAGAACGCUGCGAACUGCGAUACGUAAUGCGAAUUGCAGAAUUCAGUGAGUCAUCGAAAUUUUGAACGCACAUUGCACUUUCGGGUUAUGCCUGGAAGUAUGCCUGUAUCAGUGUCCGUACAUCAAACUUGCCUUUCUUUUUCUGUGUAGUCAGGGAGAGAGAUGGCAGAAUGUGAGGUGUCUCGCUGGCUCCCUUUUCGGAGGAGAAGACGCGAGUCCCUUUAAAUGUACGUUCGCUCUUUCUUGUGUCUAAGAUGAAGUGUGAUUCUCGAAUCGCGGUGAUCUGUUUGGAUCGCUUUGCGCAUUUGGGCGACUUCGGUUAGGACAUUAAAGGAAGCAACCUCUAUUGGCGGUAUGUUAGGCUUCGGCCCGACGUUGCAGCUGACAGAGUGUGGUUUUCUGUUCUUUCCUUGAGGUGUACCUGAAUUGUGUGAGGCAAUGGUCUGGGCAAAUGGUUGCUGUGUAGUAGGGUUUUGCUGCUCUUGGACGCCCUGUUUUCGGAUAGGGUAAA
rnacentral:misc_RNA from 1 species